AUUGAACGCUGGCGGCAUGCCUUACACAUGCAAGUCGAACGGCAGCACGGGAGCAAUCCUGGUGGCGAGUGGCGAACGGGUGAGUAAUAUAUCGGAACGUGCCCAGUCGUGGGGGAUAACGUAGCGAAAGCUACGCUAAUACCGCAUACGAUCUAUGGAUGAAAGCGGGGGAUCGCAAGACCUCGCGCGAUUGGAGCGGCCGAUAUCAGAUUAGGUAGUUGGUGAGGUAAAGGCUCACCAAGCCGACGAUCUGUAGCUGGUCUGAGAGGACGACCAGCCACACUGGGACUGAGACACGGCCCAGACUCCUACGGGAGGCAGCAGUGGGGGAAUUUUUGGACAAUGGGCGCAAGCCUGAUCCAGCAAUGCCGCGUGCAGGAUGAAGGCCUCGGUU
rnacentral:rRNA from 1 species